rnacentral:rRNA from 1 species
AUUGAACGCUGGCGGCAUGCUUUACACAUGCAAGUCGAACGGCAGCGCGGGCUUCGGCCUGGCGGCGAGUGGCGAACGGGUGAGUAAUGCAUCGGAACGUGCCCAGUAGUGGGGGAUAGCCCGGCGAAAGCCGGAUUAAUACCGCAUACGACCUGAGGGUGAAAGCGGGGGACCGAAAGGCCUCGCGCUAUUGGAGCGGCCGAUGUCGGAUUAGCUAGUUGGUGGGGUAAAGGCUUACCAAGGCGACGAUCCGUAGCUGGUCUGAGAGGACGACCAGCCACACUGGGACUGAGACACGGCCCAGACUCCUACGGGAGGCAGCAGUGGGGAAUUUUGGACAAUGGGGGCAACCCUGAUCCAGCCAUGCCGCGUGCGGGAAGAAGGCCUUCGGGUUGUAAACCGCUUUUGUUCGGGAAGAAAUCCUCUGGGCUAAUACCCCGGGGGGAUGACGGUACCGGUAGAAUAAGCACCGGCUAACUACGUG